ACUGGCGAUGCGGGAUGAACCGAACGUGAAGUUAAGGUGCCGGAAUAUACGCUCAUCAGACACCACAAAAGGUGUUAGUUCAUCUAGA
rnacentral:ncRNA from 1 species